rnacentral:lncRNA from 1 species
UAAUUUAAGGGGCUUAAAAUUUUUAUAAUGCAAUUUCAAAAAUGAAAUAAGUGUAAAGAAAGGAAAAGGUAAAGUGAAUUCAUAUACAAGAUUGGUUCAUAGCCACUAUGUAGUGUGGUCUAGUAUUAUUUGCCAGAGGUUGUUCACAAAGUUUAUGGUAAGCCAAGGCAAAAGAAGUACAGUCAUUCAUUUACAGUAGGCCCAAUGUUCAUGAGAUGAAAAUAGGUAAGUUACUGAUGAGAAGCUCAAUUAUUCCUGACAUAGGGCUUGAAAGACAUUUGAUACGGUUUGGCUGUAUCCUCACCUAAAUCUUAUCUUGAAUUAUAGUUCCCAUAAUCCCCACAUAUUGUAGGAGGGACUCAGUGGGAGGUAACUGAAUCAUGGGGGUGGCUACAGCCAUGCUGCUGUUCUCAUGAUAGUGAGUGAGUUCUCACGAGAUCUGAUGGCUUUAUAAGGGUUUUUUUCUCGCUUUGCUUGACACUUCUCCUUCCUGUUGCCAUGUGAAGAAGGACGUAGUUGCUUCCUCUUCCACCAUGAUUGUAAGUUUCCUGAGGCCUCCCCAGUCCUGCAAAACUGUGAGUCAAUUAAACCUCUUUCCUUUAUAAAUUACCCAAUCAUGGGUAUUUCUUCAGAGCAGCAUGAAAAAUGAACUAAUGCAACAUUUUUCUAACCUGUCUUCAUCAGGAAGAUCUGUUUGAUGUAGCAAACAGCAUCCUCAACAACAUCCUUAUAGUACAAGUCAUGUGGGUUAUUUUAAAAAUGAGACUUAUUCUCAGUGCUGCACUCUCAAGAAUGAUAGAAUCUGGGCUAUCCCUGUGACUUGCUUUGACUAACGGAAUGUGACAGAAUGACGUUGUGCAACAUCCAAAUCAGGACUUAAGAAACUGUAGGCAGCCAUCAUGCUGUGAACGCAAGCUGUGUGGAGAGACUAAGUGGAGGUGAAUGGAGUCAGUUCAGUCAACAGCCCUACCUGAUAUUUCAGUCCAUAACUAGCCCUGUGUGUCAGCCCUGUGAACAGGUCGUCUUGGACUUUUCACCCCAGUUGAGAAUAAUGACUACAUCCUCAGCUGAUAGCACAUGGAACAGAGGAACUACCUAGCUUAGCUGGGCCCAUAUUGCAGAAUUGUGAGAGAUCAUGAAAAGUUGUGUUUUUUUUAUAACUA